GUCUGCUCAAACGUAAGACCGGUCCCCCGUGUACAAGGCCCAGCCGGCCGGAUAGAGGGUGACUGACUGACGGUAUUGAAGUUGUUAACCCGUGGCAUUUGUCGAACCGAAAAGUAAGAAUCGAGAGUACAAUAACAUUUGGGAUGUUAUCCCGGUGUCUACCUGCGGCCUUUCCGAGAAUCGCCGUACGAUUUAUCUGCGCGCAGCUAUAUAUGUACGCGGACAGUUAAAGGAGAGGGCGGCAUGGUCGCGGCAACGUCUCCGAGAGCAAGGUGUUUACCAUUUUGCCGAAAAAUAAAAUAACGACCCCUCUUAUAUACUCGGGAGAGCCUGCCGCGCGUAGCCUCCCUUUGGCUUGGCGGUCGGCAUAACUGACAAUAAAAAGUGGACGGUGGUCUGCGUUCGGCAUUCCGACCGUUUGGGGCGCUGACAUCGGCGACAGCAACGCCAGCGUCGCUUCCAGGAACUACAAGAAAAGGGCCUGGCGCUCCCGUGGGACCAUAUCGAACUCCUUUCGGGGUGUCAUUCGUCGGCGUAAGAAAGCAGGAAAUCGAAUUUCAUAACCUACACAGCGCGCAAUGGUGCGCGUUCGGUUACGCCCGACACUGAGAGACCACUGCCAAGCAUAUAAGCGUCCAGGAUUCGGCAAAGCUCGCGAUGCCACCGACGGGGUCUUCGGAGGCGGAGUGACUUGGAGCUACGUCAUAUCCGCGUCGCCGGGCUUGAGUGCAGCCCGCGGAGCCACCGACGUUGCCGUAUCUCGCACGUAUCCUCCUCCCACUUGCGAUUACGCUCGUGUGACUCAUCCGCAAUGAAAUUUGGCAACGGUCGCCGUCCACGUGUUUCCAAACAGGCCUGGAGGUCGAGGUACUUGCACGAAAUUCGCUUGAGGUGCGAUAUUCCUCGCGCGUCACUCGAAAUAUUAGGCGUUCGAUAAUAAAAAGGAUGCUGAACCCGUUCAAUGGGUCUUUCGGUAAUUUAU